rnacentral:lncRNA from 1 species
AACACUUCAAUAACACAUUUAUUUAAUUUGAAAUAAACAUUAGGUCAUGCUUAAAUAAAAUAGUUUUCACACACUACGGGACGGAGUACUUCAGUAGAACCCUAAUCCCAACACUAAUAUCUCGAUCAAUCUCAACACUGACAUCUCGACCAAUCUUAACUCUAACAUCUCAACUAAUCUCAUUUCAACAGAACUAGUGCCCAGAGAGCAAAGCUCGACCAGGGUCCUUAACUCCAGUCCGGUCACUUAAUGUUCAUUAUCAGCCUUAGUAUUUCGGCUUUCUUAUUCCAAUAAGACUGGCGCCUAGAGAGCGAAGCUCGACCAGGGACCUUACCUUCAGUCUGGUCACUUAGGUUUCCAAAUAAGCCGGUGCCCAGAGAGCAAUGCUCGACCAUGGACCUUUACUCCGGCAACCACACUCUAUUAAACCUAGUCCUAAACUUUCCUCUUUAAAAUUUACCAUUUUACCCAUUUUCCAUCACUCGCGGAUUUAUACUGGUGCACUCAUCAAAAUACUAUGUUCUACUGUCGUCCCGUCCCGAGUCAACACAAAUCAAUAAAUUCAGUGAUGGCGAACAAUGAUAUAUAUGAAUGGUAAUUAAAAGCAUGAUAUAUAUAUGAAUAGUAAUUAAAUGAAUAAUUUAGACUUGCAAUCAAUUAAUCACAAUAACUAUUAAAAAUUUGAGCAUGACACGUGCAUAACAGAUAUAUGACUUUAACUCACAGCUUUGACGACCUCCUAUCUUUGCUCCGAUGCCUCGGGUGGAGUGAGCCGAACAGACGGAUUAUCUAAUCACGGAAAACAAUUAUCAAUAACACUGAAACAAUUGACAAUUAACCCUAAGUCUAGAUUCCUAGGACUGACUGUCUAAGAAUCUCGACUCGGAUAAAUUCUACCGAAA